GGUUAAGCGACUAAGCGUACACGGUGGAUGCCCUGGCAGUCAGAGGCGAUGAAGGACGUGCUAAUCUGCGAAAAGCGUCGGUAAGGUGAUAUGAACCGUUAUAACCGGCGAUGUCCGAAUGGGGAAACCCAGUGUGAUUCGUCACACUAUCGUUAACUGAAUACAUAGGUUAACGAGGCGAACCGGGGGAACUGAAACAUCUAAGUACCCCGAGGAAAAGAAAUCAACCGAGAUUCCCCCAGUAGCGGCGAGCGAACGGGGAGCAGCCCAGAGUCUGAAUCAGCUUGUGUGUUAGUGGAACGGUCUGGAAAGUCCGACGGUACAGGGUGAUAGUCCCGUACACCAAAAUGCACAGGCUGUGAACUCGAAGAGUAGGGCGGGACACGUGGUAUCCUGUCUGAAUAUGGGGGGACCAUCCUCCAAGGCUAAAUACUCCUGACUGACCGAUAGUGAACCAGUACCGUGAGGGAAAGGCGAAAAGAACCCCGGCGAGGGGAGUGAAAAAGAACCUGAAACCGUGUACGUACAAGCAGUGGGAGCACCUUCGGGUGUGACUGCGUACCUUUUGUAUAAUGGGUCAGCGACUUAUAUUCUGUAGCAAGGUUAACCGUAUAGGGGAGCCGCAGGGAAACCGAGUCUUAACUGGGCGUUAAGUUGCAGGGUAUAGACCCGAAACCCGGUGAUCUAGCCAUGGGCAGGUUGAAGGUUGGGUAACACUAACUGGAGGACCGAACCGACUAAUGUUGAAAAAUUAGCGGAUGACUUGUGGCUGGGGGUGAAAGGCCAAUCAAACCGGGAGAUAGCUGGUUCUCCCCGAAAGCUAUUUAGGUAGCGCCUCGUGAAUUCAUCUUCGGGGGUAGAGCACUGUUUCGGCUAGGGGGUCAUCCCGACUUACCAACCCGAUGCAAACUACGAAUACCGAAGAAUGUUAUCACGGGAGACACACGGCGGGUGCUAACGUCCGUCGUGAAGAGGGAAACAACCCAGACCGCCAGCUAAGGUCCCAAAGUCAUGGUUAAGUGGGAAACGAUGUGGGAAGGCACAGACAGCCAGGAUGUUGGCUUAGAAGCAGCCAUCAUUUAAAGAAAGCGUAAUAGCUCACUGGUCGAGUCGGCCUGCGCGGAAGAUGUAACGGGGCUAAACCAUGCACCGAAGCUGCGGCAGCGACACUAUGUGUUGUUGGGUAGGGGAGCGUUCUGUAAGCCUGCGAAGGUGACCUGUGAGGGUUGCUGGAGGUAUCAGAAGUGCGAAUGCUGACAUAAGUAACGAUAAAGCGGGUGAAAAGCCCGCUCGCCGGAAGACCAAGGGUUCCUGUCCAACGUUAAUCGGGGCAGGGUGAGUCGACCCCUAAGGCGAGGCUGAAAGGCGUAGUCGAUGGGAAACAGGUUAAUAUUCCUGUACUUGGUGUUACUGCGAAGGGGGGACGGAGAAGGCUAUGUUAGCCGGGCGACGGUUGUCCCGGUUUAAGCAUGUAGGCUGAUUGUCCAGGCAAAUCCGGAUAAUCAAGGCUGAGGUGUGAUGACGAGGCACUACGGUGCUGAAGUAACAAAUGCCCUGCUUCCAGGAAAAGCCUCUAAGCAUCAGGUAACAUUAAAUCGUACCCCAAACCGACACAGGUGGUCAGGUAGAGAAUACCAAGGCGCUUGAGAGAACUCGGGUGAAGGAACUAGGCAAAAUGGUGCCGUAACUUCGGGAGAAGGCACGCUGGUGUGUAGGUGAAGUCCCUGCGGAUGGAGCUGAGACCAGUCGAAGAUACCAGCUGGCUGCAACUGUUUAUUAAAAACACAGCACUGUGCAAACACGAAAGUGGACGUAUACGGUGUGACGCCUGCCCGGUGCCGGAAGGUUAAUUGAUGGGGUUAUCCGUAAGGAGAAGCUCUUGAUCGAAGCCCCGGUAAACGGCGGCCGUAACUAUAACGGUCCUAAGGUAGCGAAAUUCCUUGUCGGGUAAGUUCCGACCUGCACGAAUGGCGUAAUGAUGGCCAGGCUGUCUCCACCCGAGACUCAGUGAAAUUGAACUCGCUGUGAAGAUGCAGUGUACCCGCGGCAAGACGGAAAGACCCCGUGAACCUUUACUAUAGCUUGACACUGAACAUUGAGCCUUGAUGUGUAGGAUAGGUGGGAGGCUUUGAAGCGUGGACGCCAGUCUGCGUGGAGCCAACCUUGAAAUACCACCCUUUAAUGUUUGAUGUUCUAACGUUGGCCCCUUAUCGGGGUUGCGGACAGUGUCUGGUGGGUAGUUUGACUGGGGCGGUCUCCUCCCAAAGCGUAACGGAGGAGCACGAAGGUUAGCUAAUCCUGGUCGGACAUCAGGAGGUUAGUGCAAUGGCAUAAGCUAGCUUGACUGCGAGCGUGACGGCGCGAGCAGGUGCGAAAGCAGGUCAUAGUGAUCCGGUGGUUCUGAAUGGAAGGGCCAUCGCUCAACGGAUAAAAGGUACUCCGGGGAUAACAGGCUGAUACCGCCCAAGAGUUCAUAUCGACGGCGGUGUUUGGCACCUCGAUGUCGGCUCAUCACAUCCUGGGGCUGAAGUAGGUCCCAAGGGUAUGGCUGUUCGCCAUUUAAAGUGGUACGCGAGCUGGGUUUAGAACGUCGUGAGACAGUUCGGUCCCUAUCUGCCGUGGGCGCUGGAGAAUUGAGGGGGGCUGCUCCUAGUACGAGAGGACCGGAGUGGACGCAUCACUGGUGUUCGGGUUGUCAUGCCAAUGGCACUGCCCGGUAGCUAAAUGCGGAAGAGAUAAGUGCUGAAAGCAUCUAAGCACGAAACUUGCCCCGAGAUGAGUUCUCCCUGAGACUUUAAGUCUCCUGAAGGAACGUUGAAGACGACGACGUUGAUAGGCCGGGUGUGUAAGCGCAGCGAUGCGUUGAGCUAACCGGUACUAAUGAACCGUGAGGCUUAACCUU
rnacentral:rRNA from 1 species